UACCAAAUCUCACAAGCCUAUAUGGGCAGAAACCCGAGUCACAAACAGUCCCCCAACGUUUCGGCUCCUCCUGGCAGCCUUUAUCAAGGGUAGCUAUAUCAUAGCAUCAUCCAGGAACCCAUUAUAUACACAUAUACAACUUACUAAUUACUUACAGCUGAUGGCCAUCAGUGAUAUCACAAAGAGCCAAGACCGGAAGUGACAUCAUCACUUCAGAUCAUAGCCCUGUAUAAAGAAUUAAAUAACAUACAUAGUUAUUGUACAUUCCCAAUGUUAUUCCCAAACUGACUGCCUCAUUGAUGCAAAAAAUGUCCCACUACUGUACAAUCCACAAACCUUCUCGCCAGUCUAAAUGAAACGCGCAUGCGCAAUACAAACAAAAACGAUCACCACAUCGUCCACUGGCACCACAAACAUACCAACAUUAAUAUACUCCACAUAACCCCAAGGAAAUACCAAGCACUAAAGCUCUACAUAAACAAUAACAAAACGCGCAUUUCACCUUAUUUUGCUCGGCCAAUCAUACCGGGGUUCCCUUCCUACGGAAGCCUCCGAGAUCCACAUCUAAUAGAAAGUCGCAUCAAAAGAGCACCGCGCCGCUCGCGCAUGCGCAUCCCCCAAAUUAAAGGAAUGUAUGCAAAUUGUCAAUACACUGACCAGCUCUCUUAAAGGGAAAAUGUCAUAAACAUAAGAAUUACUUCCAAUAUAACAUAAUAAGUGUAUAAAUGGUCCUGUAGUAUAGCAGAACAAAUAAAUAAUAUCUAUAACAGUGAAAAAUACCUCCACCAAAAUAUUACCACCAAAACAAUAUAUAAUUACUAUACUAAACUAGUGUUUAUACAUCCAUUGUAUACAAAACAUACAUCCAGCACCUACCGAACGAUCAAAUCACUCCCCAAAAGGGAAAUGUAAUACAAAAGAAUCAUAUAUCAUAC